AUCCAACUGACGAGUCCCAAAUAGGACGAAAUGCGCAUCCUGGAU
rfam:Trichobilharzia regenti genome assembly, scaffold: TRE_scaffold0019948